rnacentral:rRNA from 1 species
GGAGGAAACGGGUGGGCCYUCGAAGCUCGAACGGGGGGAUUCAACCUGUCGGCCCCCGGUGGUCACCGGACCGUGUAAUCGAAGGACGGAUCCGUCAAGGACCGUAGCACGGUCACAUUGACCGUAACGGUGACCGCUGGCAGGUGCACUUCCCUCCUAGUAGGACGCCGCGACCGGUCGGGGUCGCAGAUUCUCCAUCCGAUGGAGAAUCGAGACAUAAAACGGUGUCCAUAGGACAAGACGCUGGAAGGUAUCCGUUGCCGGUAACUCUUCGUUUUUCGUCCGCAAAAGCGAUAGAGCCCGGUCGGAGUUAUAGCCAGUCUUGCUCCGGUCUUCCUGUGCACCGCCCGACUGUGGUUACUAAUCGAUCCAGCACCUGCUGGUGAGAUGUUGAAAGGUAACGUGUCCGCGCACCGUUUCUUCCUUGCUCCGGCAAGAAGGUGGCGGUCCUUUCCACGCAAGUGAAAAGGUGCGCGAGUCUGCAUUGGCAAGCUGUGCCCUGGCUGCCGAACGCCGUUGUCCUGGUGGUCGGCAAGUCCAGUUGUCUGUUGGCCGGCUGUUAGCUGAGCAGGCUGCUCUCGUGGUGACGCUAGUCGUCUGCGGCGAGUAGGUCGGUUGCCCACCCGACCCGUCUUGAAACACGGACCAAGGAGUCUAACAUGAGCGCGAGUCGUUGGGUAGUCUUCCCAGAGACAAAACCCGUUCGGCGCAAUUAAAGUGAAGGUUGCACUGGUAUCCUUUAGCCGUCCGCGCUAAGGACCAGUCUUCCAUGGCGGGAUCCGUAUUGGCAAACUUUGUAAGUCUAAAGCCUUGCGGCGCACCGCCGGCCCGUCUUUUCCGCACUGUCGGUAAGGCGGAGCCUGAGCGUUCACGUUGGGACCCGAAAGAUGGUGAACUAUGCUUGGGCAGGACGAAGCCAGAGGAAACUCUGGUGGAGGUCCGUAGCGAUUCUGACGUGCAAUCGAUCGUCGGACCUAAGUAUAGGGGCGAAA